GACGGGACCCCGCACAAGCGGUGGAUCAUGUUGUUUAAUUCGAUGAUACGCGAAGAACCUUACCAGGUCUUGACAUCCCCCCGCGAUGCUUUAGAGAUAAAGCGGAGGUAUUCGGGGAGACAGGUGGUGCAUGGUUGUCGUCAGCUCGUGUCGUGAGAUGUUGGGUUAAGUCCCGCAACGAGCGCAACCCUUGUCCUUAGUUACCAGCACGUUAUGGUGGGCACUCUAAGGAGACUGCCGGUGACAAACCGGAGGAAGGUGGGGAUGACGUCAAGUCAUCAUGGCCCUUACGGCCUGGGCUACACACGUGCUACAAUGGUCGGUACAAAGGGUUGCCAAGCCGCGAGGUGGAGCUAAUCCCAUAAAACCGAUCGUAGUCCGGAUCGCAGUCUGCAACUCGACUGCGUGAAGUCGGAAUCGCUAGUAAUCGUGAAUCAGAAUGUCACGGUGAAUACGUUCCCGGGCCUU
rnacentral:rRNA from 1 species